AUUGAACGCUGGCGGCAGGCCUAACACAUGCAAGUCGAGCGGAUGAAGGGAGCUUGCUCCUGGAUUCAGCGGCGGACGGGUGAGUAAUGCCUAGGAAUCUGCCUGGUAGUGGGGGAUAACGUCCGGAAACGGGCGCUAAUACCGCAUACGUCCUGCGGGAGAAAGUGGGGGAUCUUCGGACCUCACGCUAUCAGAUGAGCCUAGGUCGGAUUAGCUAGUUGGUGGGGUAAAGGCCUACCAAGGCGACGAUCCGUAACUGGUCUGAGAGGAUGAUCAGUCACACUGGAACUGAGACACGGUCCAGACGCCUACGGGAGGCAGCAGUGGGGAAUAUUGGACAAUGGGCGAAAGCCUGGUCCAGCCAUGCCGCGUGUGUGAAGAAGGUCUUCGGAUUGUAAAGCACUUUAAGUUGGGAGGAAGGGCAGUAAGUUAAUACCUUGCUGUUUUGACGUUACCGACAGAAUAAGCACCGGCUAACUACGUG
rnacentral:rRNA from 1 species